rnacentral:lncRNA from 1 species
UUUCAUACUUAACCAAAACACUUCUCAAGCCUAUUUCCUUGUUUUAAAUUUUUUUAAAACUAACUCUUUCAAACUCUUUGGAAAAAUAUAAACUACCUAAAGUUCGGGUCUUACAAUCAUAAAGUAUGACUGUAGAUACCGUACUGAUAUUUGAGAAGAAUUAUUUAUGCUAUCCCCAAAUUUUUGUUGUGUCUCUUCAGCCCAUUUAAGAACAUCACUUGGCUCAUCAAACUUGGAUUCAUAAGAUGAAUGCAUUGACAUAUUGGACAUCCUGGUAUUUUAACAACUGUUUAUUUUUUUGCACAAUUAUAACAAAAAGAUACAGUCAAAUCACUUUGCACAAUAAAUAAUAACAAAGUAACAAAACAUGAGAAAGAGAAAAAAAGAAAAAAAAGUAAAAUAAAUAAAUAAAUAAAUAAAAUUAAAAAAAUUAAAAACAAUAAAAAAUUAAAAAAUUAAUAAUAAUAAUAAUUAAUAAUAGAAAAUUAAAAAAAAUGUAGAACAAUAAUAAUAAUAAUGAAUAAAUAAAUAAUAAAUAAUAAUAAUAAAUAAAUAAAUAAAUAAUAAUUAAUAACAGAAAAUUAAAAAAAUGUAAAAGAUGUAAAAAUAAUAAUAAUAAUAAUAACUAAAUAAGGUUUUCAUGCACUUGUAAGCAUUACUUUCGUUAUGGUUGAAAUCAAAGACCAAAUUUAAAGAAAGAAAGAAAAAAAAAUAAAAAAUUCGUUUUUUUUAAUAUACAUACAUUGUAGAAAGUACUAUGAUUAAACCCCAUUUUAAAAAAUAAAUAAAUAAAUAAAAAAGAAAUAUGUCAAAUUUUAUAAAAAUGUGAAACUUUGUUUUCUUUUUUUAAAUAAUAAUAAUAAUAAUAAUAAUAAUAAGACUUUGGAUAAAAUAAGCUAGAUAGAAAAAUGACAUGGUGUUGGUAUCAAAACUCUUAAAAGAAAAAAAGGCCCUCAAAUUUAUUCUAAUGUUAUUUAACUAAUAACAGAAGAAUUAAUCUGAACGAGGAUUUUUCAUGUGCCUGCACGGGAGUCGAAACCCCUCGAAAGUCUACACUACUUCGUCCUCAAUUCUAGUCCUAUAAGGUUGUAGCUCGGGUAGAGAGCUUGUGAGUGUGUGUAAAUGCAUGAUGACAUAAAAAUAAAAAAUAAAAAAUAAUACCAAUAACAUAGUACAAAAUAUUACAUCUGAAUCAAAUAAAAACAAAUAAUUAAGUGAACCAACAUAUUAUAAUAUAAUAAUAAUAAAAGAUAAAAUAUAUGGCUCGACUCUCCAAAAUCCCCAGUGGAGUCGCCAAGCUGUCGCGACGUGAUCGCUACGCGGAGCGGCCGACCUCCCCGUUUAUUUAAUUUUAAUAAAUAAUUUUGGAGUCGCCACCAAUCAUAUUAAGGUGUGAUUGGUCACCAAAAAAAAAAAAGAAUGGUUUACGUAAAUUCAGAGAUUUAAGUUCGGGAGUCAGUUGUGUGUAGGGAAGGUGUUAGCACCCUACAACGCCCACAAAAUGGUUACCCAAUUUUAUCUUUUAAAUUAAAUAUAGGGGUUCACAUAACAAAGUUUUUAUUUAGGUUUUGUUUAAAUGUCCCAUGUUUAUCAAUUCAUAUCGAAAAAAGUAAAACCUAAGCAUGAAUUGUUAAUUAUGGGUGGCAGAGGAGCCAUUAGAAAAAUGAAGUUUACUUUUGUUUUAAAAUAUUUUUAUUCACCUUAAGAAUAUUAAGAUACCAAAACUUGAUAUUUUAAUCUCUAUCAUAGGUGUUUAAUGAAAAAUUUCAUAUAUCUAGAAUUAAUAAAUUCAUAGAAAAUACUACUCAGUCUCAUUUAAAAUAUGAAAUGUGUUAAUUUAAAAACAAUCUAUUAAUUAAAUUUCAAACGGAAAAAUUUCAUGUAUUCAUGGAUUUUAAAUUAUAAAAUCCAUAAAAAAACAAUACUUUUUCUCCAAUUUACAUUAUUAUAUUUAAAUAAAAAAAAUGAAUAAUAACAAUGACAAGACAUUAUGAAAUUUGAAAAAUACUUAAGUGUAAUAUGCUGAGAUAAAAUAAAUACAUUGAUAAUAUAUGCAAAAUGUAAAAGAUAUUAAUGUAGGAUGCAAGAUAAUUAAUUAAUACAACACAUGCAAGAUAAUUAAUUAAUGCAUAAUUAAACGAGGGCCAAAUGGAUAUCAAAUAAUAAUUAACAGUUGAAUGCCAAAGUAGGUUUGACCCGAUAUGCAAAUAAAUAAUAUUGCAAAUAAAUAAUCACACCAAAAUGAAUAUCAAAUAAUUAUAGCCAGAUGCAUCUGAUUAAUUAAUACAUCAUGCAAAUAAUUAGAAUGAGUGAGUGAAAAUGUCACAUACAAGUUGCUAAUUAAUUAAUAGGCCAAAUGAAAAAUGGGUGUUGCCAAAUAUUAAUUAUAUCAUGGAUAAUUAUUAACAUGGAUAAUAUAUGGAUAGCAGUAAUUAUUAACGCACUACUGCCAUAUGGAUAUAUGGAUAAAGUAAUUAACAAAGACUGUAAAACGGAUGUCAAUGAAGAAUGAGUAUUACCAAAUACAGGAUGCUAAUUGAUUAAUUGUGCAUAAUUAUUAAGGCAUGUUGUCAUAUGGAUAUAAGUAAUUAACUGUAAAAUGGGUGUCAAUGAAGAAUGAGUAUUACCAAAUACAGGAUGCUAAAUUAUGCAUAAUUAUUAAGGCAUGUCAUAUGGAUAUAAGUAAUUAACUGUAAAAUGUGUGUCAAUGAAGAAUGAGUAUCCAAAUACAAAUACAUGAUGCUAAUUAAUUAAAAAGAAAUUAACACAGAAUGGAUGCCCAAUAAUAAAAGGAAAUCACCACAGAAUGAAUGUCCAAUAAAUAAAAGGAAAUUAACACAGAGAGUGGAUGCCCAAUAAUAAAAGUAAAUUAACACAGAAUGGAUGCCCAAUAAUAAAAGGAAAUUAACACAAUGGAUACCCAACAAAAAAAGAAAUUAACACAGAACAGAAUGCUCAAUAUUUUAAAAAAAAGAAAAUUAACACAAUGGAUAUCCAACAAAAAAAGAAAUUAACACAGAACAGAAUGCUCAAUAUUUUAAAAAAAAAAUUAAUAUAGAAUGGAAGGUAGAAUGCUCAGUAUUAAAAAAAAUACAAACAAUUAAAUUAACAUGUCAAAUGACGGUAAAAUGAUGAACAAUGAUUAACACGAUAGUUCAUAAUUAAAAGCAGUAUCAUCAAACAAGAAUAAAAAGAGGAAAAAAAAAAAAACUUACCAGCAGGUCUGCCCUUAAAUGCCAAAGGUUAUUCCUUUUGAUGUUCUUUCACUCUUCACCUCUUUCU